rnacentral:tRNA from 1 species
GCCGAGGUGGCGGAAUCAGCAGACGCGCGCGGCUCAAACCCGCGUGUCCUCGUGACGUGAGGGUGCAACUCCCUCCUUCGGCA